GGGUUGUGAGGUUAAGCGACUAAGCGUACACGGUGGAUGCCCUGGCAGUCAGAGGCGAUGAAGGACGUGCUAAUCUGCGAUAAGCGUCGGUAAGGUGAUAUGAACCGUUAUAACCGGCGAUUUCCGAAUGGGGAAACCCAGUGUGAUUCGUCACACUAUCAUUAACUGAAUCCAUAGGUUAAUGAGGCGAACCGGGGGAACUGAAACAUCUAAGUACCCCGAGGAAAAGAAAUCAACCGAGAUUCCCCCAGUAGCGGCGAGCGAACGGGGAGCAGCCCAGAGCCUGAAUCAGUGUGUGUGUUAGUGGAAGCGUCUGGAAAGGCGCGCGAUACAGGGUGACAGCCCCGUACACAAAAAUGCACAUACUGUGAGCUCGAUGAGUAGGGCGGGACACGUGGUAUCCUGUCUGAAUAUGGGGGGACCAUCCUCCAAGGCUAAAUACUCCUGACUGACCGAUAGUGAACCAGUACCGUGAGGGAAAGGCGAAAAGAACCCCGGCGAGGGGAGUGAAAAAGAACCUGAAACCGUGUACGUACAAGCAGUGGGAGCACGCUUCGGCGUGUGACUGCGUACCUUUUGUAUAAUGGGUCAGCGACUUAUAUUCUGUAGCAAGGUUAACCGAAUAGGGGAGCCGAAGGGAAACCGAGUCUUAACUGGGCGUUAAGUUGCAGGGUAUAGACCCGAAACCCGGUGAUCUAGCCAUGGGCAGGUUGAAGGUUGGGUAACACUAACUGGAGGACCGAACCGACUAAUGUUGAAAAAUUAGCGGAUGACUUGUGGCUGGGGGUGAAAGGCCAAUCAAACCGGGAGAUAGCUGGUUCUCCCCGAAAGCUAUUUAGGUAGCGCCUCGUGAACUCAUCUCCGGGGGUAGAGCACUGUUUCGGCAAGGGGGUCAUCCCGACUUACCAACCCGAUGCAAACUGCGAAUACCGGAGAAUGUUAUCACGGGAGACACACGGCGGGUGCUAACGUCCGUCGUGAAGAGGGAAACAACCCAGACCGCCAGCUAAGGUCCCAAAGUCAUGGUUAAGUGGGAAACGAUGUGGGAAGGCCCAGACAGCCAGGAUGUUGGCUUAGAAGCAGCCAUCAUUUAAAGAAAGCGUAAUAGCUCACUGGUCGAGUCGGCCUGCGCGGAAGAUGUAACGGGGCUAAACCAUGCACCGAAGCUGCGGCAGCGACGCUUAUGCGUUGUUGGGUAGGGGAGCGUUCUGUAAGCCUGCGAAGGUGUGCUGUGAGGCAUGCUGGAGGUAUCAGAAGUGCGAAUGCUGACAUAAGUAACGAUAAAGCGGGUGAAAAGCCCGCUCGCCGGAAGACCAAGGGUUCCUGUCCAACGUUAAUCGGGGCAGGGUGAGUCGACCCCUAAGGCGAGGCCGAAAGGCGUAGUCGAUGGGAAACAGGUUAAUAUUCCUGUACUUGGUGUUACUGCGAAGGGGGGACGGAGAAGGCUAUGUUGGCCGGGCGACGGUUGUCCCGGUUUAAGCGUGUAGGCUGGUUUUCCAGGCAAAUCCGGAAAAUCAAGGCUGAGGCGUGAUGACGAGGCACUACGGUGCUGAAGCAACAAAUGCCCUGCUUCCAGGAAAAGCCUCUAAGCAUCAGGUAACAUCAAAUCGUACCCCAAACCGACACAGGUGGUCAGGUAGAGAAUACCAAGGCGCUUGAGAGAACUCGGGUGAAGGAACUAGGCAAAAUGGUGCCGUAACUUCGGGAGAAGGCACGCUGAUAUGUAGGUGAAGUCCCUCGCGGAUGGAGCUGAAAUCAGUCGAAGAUACCAGCUGGCUGCAACUGUUUAUUAAAAACACAGCACUGUGCAAACACGAAAGUGGACGUAUACGGUGUGACGCCUGCCCGGUGCCGGAAGGUUAAUUGAUGGGGUCAGCGCAAGCGAAGCUCUUGAUCGAAGCCCCGGUAAACGGCGGCCGUAACUAUAACGGUCCUAAGGUAGCGAAAUUCCUUGUCGGGUAAGUUCCGACCUGCACGAAUGGCGUAAUGAUGGCCAGGCUGUCUCCACCCGAGACUCAGUGAAAUUGAACUCGCUGUGAAGAUGCAGUGUACCCGCGGCAAGACGGAAAGACCCCGUGAACCUUUACUAUAGCUUGACACUGAACAUUGAGCCUUGAUGUGUAGGAUAGGUGGGAGGCUUUGAAGUGUGGACGCCAGUCUGCAUGGAGCCGACCUUGAAAUACCACCCUUUAAUGUUUGAUGUUCUAACGUGGACCCGUGAUCCGGGUUGCGGACAGUGUCUGGUGGGUAGUUUGACUGGGGCGGUCUCCUCCUAAAGAGUAACGGAGGAGCACGAAGGUUGGCUAAUCCUGGUCGGACAUCAGGAGGUUAGUGCAAUGGCAUAAGCCAGCUUGACUGCGAGCGUGACGGCGCGAGCAGGUGCGAAAGCAGGUCAUAGUGAUCCGGUGGUUCUGAAUGGAAGGGCCAUCGCUCAACGGAUAAAAGGUACUCCGGGGAUAACAGGCUGAUACCGCCCAAGAGUUCAUAUCGACGGCGGUGUUUGGCACCUCGAUGUCGGCUCAUCACAUCCUGGGGCUGAAGUAGGUCCCAAGGGUAUGGCUGUUCGCCAUUUAAAGUGGUACGCGAGCUGGGUUUAGAACGUCGUGAGACAGUUCGGUCCCUAUCUGCCGUGGGCGCUGGAGAACUGAGGGGGGCUGCUCCUAGUACGAGAGGACCGGAGUGGACGCAUCACUGGUGUUCGGGUUGUCAUGCCAAUGGCACUGCCCGGUAGCUAAAUGCGGAAGAGAUAAGUGCUGAAAGCAUCUAAGCACGAAACUUGCCCCGAGAUGAGUUCUCCCUGACCCUUUAAGGGUCCUGAAGGAACGUUGAAGACGACGACGUUGAUAGGCCGGGUGUGUAAGCGCAGCGAUGCGUUGAGCUAACCGGUACUAAUGAACCGUGAGGCUUAACCUUACAACGCCGAAGCUGUU
rnacentral:rRNA from 1 species